CAUUUUUUAUCCUAUUCAAAAACUCAAAUGAAAGAUCAAUGUUUUCCCAUUUUUACCCUUCUCUUUAGAGUGACAAGCAUAACUUUUUUGGAUAGAUUUUUUCCCUUAAAGUUGAAGGGCAUUAUUGGCAAGUUGAAAUUUAGAAGUUACAAUCAUAUUGUUCCCUUUAUAAAGGUGGAAACCUGAAAUGGACAUCCAAUUGGAGUACUAAUUUUCUUUAUGGGUAUGGAGCCAUGGUCAUAGUUUUAUAAGUUGAGUAAUGAGGGGAAGGAAAACGGUAAAUGACCAUAUAUAAGGCUCCAAGGUUAGUUUAUUUUUUGUGGAAUAAGCAGAGUGGAAAUCCGUACAU